rnacentral:tRNA from 1 species
UACUCGCUUGGUGAAAAUGGUAAACACGACAGACUAAAAGACUUCGUGCCAAUGGGUUAUCGGUUCGAAUCCGAUAGCGAGUAA